GCUCGUGUGUUCUAGUGGUUGGAAAAUAUGUCGCCUUGACUUUCAUGUUUUGCUCGACGUCGUGAGUUCAAGUCUCACCCCGCGCA